UGUAUGUAUUUCACAAUUUCAAGGACAUUUUUUUGUAUAUGCAGAAAUAAUGCACCAAAUAUUAUACACUAUAGUAAGCUUGUUUGUGAUUAGUGCACCAUCUCAUGCCGUUGCUAGUCUUUUCAUAAUAUUUCUCAAAGCAUUUUCAUGUGACUUGAUCCUUUCGUGUUUGCAGUGACCACUAUUGGUACCGGUGGAAUUGUUGUAGCAGUGUUGGGGGCUCGCACCAAUUAUGUGACUGUUGUGGUUAUGAAUUUAGCUGCUACUCCUCUCCAGCUAAGUGUUAAGAGAGCAUUCAGUUGUGAAAACCGAUUCUCCUGGUUCUAGAUGGCAUUCAUGCUUAACAGGGAGUCUCCUCCUACCUCCUCUGUUGGCUUGAGAUGUAGGUUUGUGCGGCAGAAUGUUGUCUCCACGGUGCCGGGAAGUGCUGUGGCGGCGAUUGGCUAGAGUGUGGGUGUUGUCGCCUGGAAGUGUUCCAACGGUGAUCGGCGUGUGGGAGUGUCUCUGGCGGCGAUUGGCG